rnacentral:snRNA from 1 species
GUGCUGGCUUCAACAGCACAUAUACUAAAAUUGGAACGACACAGAGGAGAUUGGCAUGGCUCCUGUACAAGGAUGACACGCAAAUUCACGAAGAGUUCCGUAUUUUU